GGCUAUAUCAAAUUGAAACACCAGUACUUGUAUGAUCACCAAAGUUAAGCAACAUCAAGCUUGGUCAGUACCUAGAUGGAUGACCACUUGGGAAUACCAGGUGCUGUAA